UACGUAGGGCGCAAGCGUUGUCCGGAAUUAUUGGGCGUAAAGAGCUCGUAGGCGGUUUGUCGCGUCUGCUGUGAAAACUCGGGGCUUAACUCCGGGCCUGCAGUGGGUACGGGCAGACUAGAGUGCGGUAGGGGAGACUGGAAUUCCUGGUGUAGCGGUGAAAUGCGCAGAUAUCAGGAGGAACACCGGUGGCGAAGGCGGGUCUCUGGGCCGUAACUGACGCUGAGGAGCGAAAGCAUGGGGGAGCGAACAGG
rnacentral:rRNA from 1 species